CUAGGGGCCUCUUGUGUGCGUGGCAGCCACCCGGCUCAAAGGCGGGGGUGGUUUUCUACGCGGGUCCCCGGUGGCCCCCGAGCUCGCCCAGUACCCCCCUCCUCCCGCUCGGUCCCCCGAGAGCCGCGGAGCUCGGGGCGGGGGGCGGCGUGCCGCGCAGUGGGCUCUGGGCUCCAGGGGUGGUCGGGGGAACGCGGGUGGAGGACCAGCGGCAGGCUGGCCCCGCGAAGCCCGCCGAGAGGAGGGCAGGGUAGGCGCGUCCUCCUCCGCUCAGUGCGCUGCGUCCCGCGCACGGAUGCUCGGAUGCUCCGUUGAGGAACAAGGGGGGUGGUUUACUGCUUUCAUUGCUUCCAUCCCAAAUUGAGACGGAGCGGCUUUGUAGCCAGAUCUGGGCAGGCUCUGGAUGUUAAAACACAGCACUUUUUUUUUUUUUUUUUAAAUUGAAGCCUCCCAGCCGCGGUCCCCGCCCUGUCGCCGUGCCUCCUGGUCGGGGUCGCCGGUCGGGCUCCGCGCGCGCCGCGGCGAAAGAAACGAGCGGCCGCCCGGGUGUGCGGACCCCGCGGGGGGAGUCCGCGCGCAGUGGGACCGGGAGCCUGCGGCGAGCCGGCGGCCAGAGCUGCGCUCCGAGACGCUGGAACCGGGAGGUUCGGGUCCCGCCCGCCGUCCGCUCCGACUUCCUGCGCCGAUCGCCGCAGCGCGCGCCCGGCCGCCCCGCGGUUCCCCCUGCGGGAAGGUCGGUGUGAGCUCGCAUCUACUCAGAUCGACAGGAGGUGUGCCGACAGAAAAGAUCGGAAAUACAGAAGGUACGUCGCUUUAAAAAGUUUUAAAAAAUGCAGUGAUGGUUGCCCCUUUAGGAAAGCACACAGACGCAAUUAUAUGUAUGCGUUUAAAAAAUACAAGCGAUUGCGCACCGACUGAGAAGGAGCUCUUUACCGUGGUGGCGGAAACAUUCUCUUAUCUUGUUUGGGUGCGAUGGUGGCAGAGGAAUUAAGCUGUCAAAAUUUGUAGACACUGCACUGAAGAUCUGCGCAUUGUAUCGCGCGUACACGGUACAGCAGUUGAAAAAAAAAUCGGAACAUAAAUCUGCGUGCACGUAAAAAGUUAGUAACGUUGCACACUGCGCGUAGAAAAGCCGAUUCAGCGCCCGCGUAGAUGUACAUUUUGGCAACGGAGCGCGGCUCUCUGUGGGGCCGUUUGUUUCUGCAAGCUCGGCCCGGCCGGGAAUGGGAGAGGGAGAGGAGGCGGCUGACAUCACUCGGGGCGGGGCCGCGGCGCUAAGAAAAGUCGGUGGGGCCCGAGCGGUCCCGGCACAGCCUCACCAUGAGCUGCGGCAACACGUCCGAGCGCCACAUCCUCGGCAGCUCGGACCAGCUGGUCCUGCAGCCGCUCUGGGACCAGCUGCGCGCCCAGGACGCGCUCACGCAGUCGCCCCUGUUCGCCGUCCUCUUUUCCAUCUGCACGUACGUGGGCUUCUGCCUGCCCUUCGUGGCGCUCGACGUGCUGAGCCGCUGGGUGCCCGCGCUGCGGCGCUACAAGAUCCACCCGGACUUCUCGCCGACGACGCGGCAGAUGCUGCCCUGCUUGGGGCAGACCCUCUACCAGCACGCCGUGUUCGUGCUCCCCUUGACGCUGCUGUCCUGGGCCCGCGGCCCGGCCCCCUGGCCCCGCGAAGCCCCCGAGCUGCUGCAGCUGGCGGGCCACGUCCUGGGCUGCCUGCUCCUCUUCGACGCGGAGUUCUUCGCGUGGCACGUGCUCCAUCACAAGGUGCCGUGGCUUUACCGCACCUUCCACAAGAUGCACCACCGCAACUCGGCCUCGUUCGCGCUGGCCACGCAGUACAUGAGCGCCUGGGAGCUGUUCUCCCUGGGCUUCUUCGACGCGGUGAACGUCACGCUGCUGCAGUGCCAUCCGCUCACCGUCCUGGUGUUCCGCGUGCUCAACAUCUGGCUGUCGGUGGAGGACCACUCCGGCUACGACUUCCCCUGGUCCACGCACAGACUGGUACCCUUCGGGUGGUACGGCGGCGUCACGCACCACGACCUGCACCACUCGCAGUUCCACUGCAACUUUGCCCCUUACUUCACGCACUGGGACAGAAUCCUGGGCACUCUUCGCUCCAAGUGACUGGCAGCCUCCCAGCCGGGCUGCGGUGGCGGAGGGGGGCGCCCCCUUCCCCACGCGCCCGCCACCCCGGAACCCAGGACUGCCGCAGGGCACUUCAACUUCAAUCAGGAGAAACACACCUGAGCUGUUGUGUCUUGCUUUGUUUUUAAGAAACCAAGAAGGAUUUGUAUGUGUUCACCAGGCAGGGUGAAGGGCGUCCCUGGCAGAAGCAACAACGCUGUAGGGCAGAGAGGAAUAAAGGAACUUGGCUGCUGGAAAACAAGGAAGGAAGCACAGCGCUCUCUGAGAACGAGGAAGGAAUGUCUUGCCACUUGACAAACCACCGUACCCGCUCAGCACUGUUUGCUCACCUGCCUCUGCACAGGGGGUUUGGAAGACGGUUGUGUUGUUCCUGCUGAUUGUCGUUUAGUGGUUUUUCCAAAGCCUGAAAUGCCUGGAAGCAACAAAUACCCCAGUCACUGCAAGCGGACUCUGUUAGGACCCACUUUGAACCCUCAGCCUGGCAGCUUACAACUCUGCCUUCAUCUUCGUUUCCUGCUUGCCCGGAGCCUGAAGGGCAUUUGGCUCAGCACUGUGUGAGCUCUGAGUUAAGACUAGAUAAAGGCAAGUAAGUGGGGCGGAUCCUCAAGGAAAACACAAGGCUGAUCAAAACCAACAACCGUGAUUCUUUGUGAAUGGAGUCCAUUCUUCUGCUUGGACCUGGAUUCCUGUACUGGGAAUGUGGGCUGUUUCUUCAAGGCCACCGCUGAGCUCGGGGGUGGGAGUUGGGAUUAAGGUAAGUUAAAAUGACAUAAACUCUCGGUUAUCCCCUAUAUCUUUAUUUUCCUUCUACUUGUUCUAUUAAUGACUGAAAAUGGGUUUUGAAAUCUCUGCUUAUAGUUGCAGGCGUAUCUAUUUCUUCUCUUGGUUCUAUCAGUUUUUGCUUCGUGUAUUUUGAACUCUGUUACAUGAGGUAUAGAAACGUCUAGGAUUAUUACGCACUCCUAAUUUAUUGAGCACCUACUCUGUGGCAAGAGUUCUCCUACUUGCUUUCUCUAUGUAACUUCCUUCCCUUGUUAAAAGUGUAUUCAGGGGGCAUCUGGGUGGCUCAGGUGGUUAAAAAAAGGAAGUGUAUUCAGUAUCCACGAUCUCAGUUUUAGAGAGGAAAAGAAAUUCGACAUACAAGGUUUUAUAUGGCAGGAGAAAAACCUAAGCAGUUAGAUGCCAGAGUCCUUGGUUUUCACGAGUGUGUUGUUUUAGGUAUGCAGUGGUGAUUCCAACUCUGGGCCAGGCCAGGGGAAGGGAUCGUAACCUCCCUUGGAAACUUGGCCUUUUGUUGCAAUUGAACUGGUUCCAAUUUUGGCACAUCUCACACACACCUCUUAUUGAGAUGAGAAAACAACACACAUUUGCUGGCAAAAUAGAAGGAAUUAAGGUUGGAGCUAACUUUUGAAUUGCACGUUUCUGUUCGUCUCUUCUAGUAAUGUCUGCAUGGCCUGAGAGAGCUGAGCUCUGUCUUCUUUUCCCUGGGUUGCACAAAAGCAGUCCCAAGGUGGCUGAUGGGAAAAAGGAAGCAUCUUAAAUAGCUAUCUAUCAGUGAGUUCAUAAGACCCACUGCCAAAGAAGCUCAACGGCUAACCCUACUUUGCUCAUCGAGCCUCCUUCAAAUGCUUCCCCCGAGCCCGUUUGUUUCCUGCUGAAUCAUUCAGAGCCAGGGACAUUGACCUUUUAGUCAAAAGCAGGGAUUUGAGUUUUGGCUUUUCACUUCCUGACUUGGUGACUUUGGGAAGGUGAUUUAAGUGAUCUGUAAAAUGGAUCUACUCAUAGUGCUUACAAAGAAAAAAAAAAGCUAUUUUGAUAGUAAUAUGUAAAAUGCUACUUAAAUACCGGGUACUAUUAUUAUAAUUAUCUCUCUUUAUAAAUAGAGGAAGCCUGUUUCCUUCAGUGUCUGCUUGGCAGUCCAAGUCAAUACUGAUAACUGUCAUUUCUGAGUCCCUUCCAUGGGGGAGGCACUAUUAUCUACCUGGUCUCAUUUAGCCCUCAUUUAACCUAUCAAACUUGUAGGAUCUUUUUCAC